rnacentral:lncRNA from 1 species
UGGCUAACUCUCAAGAACCAAUCCUUCUUUCCUCAGAUCUAGAGAAAAGUUCUCGGCUCUGAAAGGGAUUCUGUUUGUUUCUGCGUUGAUAAGAUUGGUGGGAUCUGGAUCCCCUAAUGGACCAAGGCAUUGGAGGUGUGGCUGAUCGGUAGGAUGACAAUUUUAUUGGACAGAUCCUAAUGGUUUUGAAGGAAAAAAGAAGAACAAAAAAAGGGGAAAAAUGUUCAGUAAAAUAAAGUGCGGAUGAACCAGGACA